rnacentral:rRNA from 1 species
GUACACUCCUACGGGAGGCAGCAGUGGGGAAUAUUGGACAAUGGGCGCAAGCCUGAUCCAGCCAUGCCGCGUGAGUGAUGAAGGCCCUAGGGUUGUAAAGCUCUUUCACCGGUGAAGAUAAUGACGGUAACCGGAGAAGAAGCCCCGGCUAACUUCGUGCCAGCAGCCGCGGUAAUACGAAGGGGGCUAGCGUUGUUCGGAUUUACUGGGCGUAAAGCGCACGUAGGCGGACUAUUAAGUCAGGGGUGAAAUCCCGGGGCUCAACCCCGGAACUGCCUUUGAUACUGGUAGUCUUGAGUUCGAGAGAGGUGAGUGGAAUUCCGAGUGUAGAGGUGGAAUUCGUAGAUAUUCGGAGGAACACCAGUGGCGAAGGCGGCUCACUGGCUCGAUACUGACGCUGAGGUGCGAAAGCGUGGGGAGCAAACAGGAUUAGAAACCCCAGUAGUCCCAUG